AGGGAAGGAGGCCAAUCGGACAAGGGUUAUCUCACGACCUCAGAUGCCAGAUAAGUCGAAGGGUGCAGAAUCACUCCUGGACAGCAUUCAGACAGGCUGGAGUGAUUAUUUGGAAGAGAAAAGCCUGCCUAUUCUUUCCAAGGUAAACAGUUCAUUUCAUCUGCC
ensembl:misc_RNA